AUCUACUACAAAUUUCAUUGAUAACUGAGGAUAUUUUAAUGUUGGCUAAGACUUAUAUGUAUACUUCUAGAAAAAGAGCUAUCAAUCUGCAUAAGGAGUUUGGUAGUAUUGGAGCAGGUCAUAGAAGACUCCAUCCAAUUUGCUAGAUAAUAUUUUCAAAGUAGAUGACUUAGAUUAGAUGGAAAAUUAUAUAAGGAUGAAAUUAGAUUUAGGAUUGAAUUAGGCUAAUUUAGAUAAAGAAUUGAAGUUGAAAAGAAAAUUUUAAAUUGCAUGAAAAUUAUUUAGAUGAAUU
rnacentral:lncRNA from 1 species